CAGUAUUUAGUUUAUAUUAAAAAUUUAAUGUUUGGGUCAUUAAGAAUUUAAUACUGU
rnacentral:tRNA from 1 species